GACCUGGCGUGGGCGGUCGUGCGCCGCGGGGUGCUCACCAGCCGCGCCAUGGUCAUCGUGACGGAGAGGUGGGAUGGAAACUGCAAGCAGAAAAAUCGGAACCGGUCUCCAUUUUUCUGUUCUCUGUAUAGCUUUCAUUGUUGUGAGACUGGAAACUGCUUUGUGUUAGUGCCGUGCAACAAUUUGUUUGCUUUACAAGUUCAGCUAUGUCGAGUUGCUCGUCAGAAUUAUGUGUUAUUAGUUGUCUGUGCUUAUGUAUUCCUUCGUUUUGAAUGGUUUACUUUGGUCAUUGAAUUGGUAUUGCUAGGGUAUGUGCGCCUGUCGAACUUGAUACAUGGUAUUGAUUUCGUUAAAAAAAACAGUUAUCUGCUUGCAGAAACGUAUUAGCAAUUUUCCUUUAUUUUUUACAAUUUUCC
rnacentral:lncRNA from 1 species